rnacentral:rRNA from 1 species
UAGGGAAUCUUCCACAAUGGGCGCAAGCCUGAUGGAGCAACACCGCGUGAGUGAAGAAGGGUUUCGGCUCGUAAAGCUCUGUUGUUAAAGAAGAACACGUAUGAGAUUAACUGUUCAUACGUUGACGGUAUUUAACCAGAAAGUCACGGCUAACUACGUGCCAGCAGCCGCGGUAAUACGUAGGUGGCAAGCGUUAUCCGGAUUUAUUGGGCGUAAAGAGAGUGCAGGCGGUCUUCUAAGUCUGAUGUGAAAGCCUUCGGCUUAACCGGAGAAGUGCAUCGGAAACUGGAUAACUUGAGUGCAGAAGAGGGUAGUGGAACUCCAUGUGUAGCGGUGGAAUGCGUAGAUAUAUGGAAGAACACCAGUGGCGAAGGCGGCUACCUGGUCUGCAACUGACGCUGAGACUCGAAAGCAUGGGUAGCGAACAGGAUUAGAUACCCUGGUAGUCCAUGCCGUAAACGAUGAGUGCUAGGUGUUGGAGGGUUUCCGCCCUUCAGUGCCGGAGCUAACGCAUUAAGCACUCCGCCUGGGGAGUACGACCGCAAGGUUG